UUAUGCGAUCAUACCACGUUGAAAGCACCGGUUCUCGUCGGAUGACCGAAGUUAAGCAACGUUGGGUCUGGUUAGUACUUGUGACGAUAUAGUCCUUCGAGGUGAGGAUGUUGAAUAAU
rnacentral:rRNA from 1 species